rnacentral:tRNA from 1 species
GCCCCCGUAGUUCAGCUGGAAAGAACGCAGCCCUGCGGAGGCUGUGACCCCGGUUCGAAUGACCUUUUUAGGUCUGAAAAUCCGGGCGGGGGCA